rfam:Ixodes scapularis strain Wikel colony gcontig_1107729029666, whole genome shotgun sequence.
GCAGUCGUGGCCGAGUGGUUAAGGUGAUGGACUAGAAAUCCAUUGGGGUCUCCCCGCACAGGUUCGAAUCCUGUCGACUGCG